UUAAUUAUUAUUUAAUUCUUGAGGAGUGAACUUCACUUUCUACUACUUUCAACUAAAAUCAUAGCAUUGAUUAAUAAGAGACGAGAAUAACAGUGGUGUGUCCUCAUUAAAGAACGAGCGUAAACCCUGAGGAUUUGUUGAUGAGUUAUAAUAGCAAGUUUUUGUUCGACUCAGAGUAGAAUUGAGGAUCGACCUCGGAGUCCUUCCUGCCUAAAUCCUUGUUUAUUUCUCCCCUCACACCAGCUGCUAAUAGUUGAUCUAAUGAAACGUCAUGACAGCUAAUCUACACUCCUUCAAAACAUUCUUAAAAUUGUCAGGGCUACGAUGUUCAUUUGAAGUUGAUUUCUUCAUUAACUUGAUCAAGAUACAGACGAUUUUCAUAACUAAAUUUAAGUAAUAAUUACUUGGUAAGUAUGUGUUGGAGAUACUUUAUUUAAAUAAAUAAAAUCAUCAAUUGAAUCCUUUAUUGUGAUGUGGAGAUUCUUUGAUGCGCAUGAUGUACUCUGGGACAAUUGUAAGUCCUUGUUGGACUCGGAGUAGAAUUGGGGAUCGACAUAGGAGUAAUUCUUGCCAAUGGUGCCCAUUACUUGCACAAUUUUCAUCACUAUGUAUAGUGUGGAUUUAGUCUAAAGCAACACAUAAUUUAGAGGGUCAUAACUUAUAAAGAAGCAAUUAACAAUUCUAAUAACUUAUACUGUCAAGUGUCAUUACAUAGAGUAAAAACAUACGUAUUCAUUCGAACAACUUAUAAUAAUAUGGGUAAAGAUAAUGAGGACUCAAACUUGAAAUAAAAAUAUUUACGUCACUUUAUUAAUUGAAUUUGUUCCGUUGUCAAACCUCCAGUGCCUUUCAUACAAUAUAGUCGUUGCCACAAUUAUUAAUUAAGGCUUAAGGUAAGUAUGCCGUAUUCUUAUUUAAAAGCAUUGAAUGUUUAUAAUAAUUCCAAGAUAUCCAAAGUAAAUUGAUGAUGACAUCACUAACCAACGUAUUUGAGGACGUAAUUUAGUAAAAAUUGUUUCAUAAGACGCCUUUUACGUCUGAUUCGAACGCAUCAUUCAAAUUUUGGGACUGAUGCAUCCAUAAACUCUGCUUCGAUUGGAAAUUUAGUUUAUACUGAACUAAACAAAAAAGCCUUAAUCGUAAUUUUCAAGUUUCUAUCUCUAUAUAAGUUACAAUUUAUUUGUCUCAAUAUGUCUUAUUUAAUUACAACAUUGAUCAUUCUAAUUAUCAAA
rnacentral:lncRNA from 1 species